AAUCUAAGUGUGAUAUUUGUACUCAAAAAUUUCUUCCUUGACCAGGGAUAGGUCCCAGAUCUGACAUACCAUCUCAAGUUGACGUAAUUUGUGCUGAUACUAAACGUAGUUCGAUAGAUGCUCUACCUCUUGCACUAAUGACCUAUCACAUGCAGGCUAACAGCCAUAUGUAUCUAACACCGCAUGAAAUGCUUACGGGUCGACCCAUGUCUGUGUCUGUUCCUUGUGAUGGACUGCCGCUGGAGUAAUUGCAGAUGAAUCAAAAACAUAUAUGAGACCACUAACUAUUAUGUAUGGAGCUAUAUAUUCACAGGAACAGAGCUGAGUGCAGUGUUAUGUGUGAGGCGUCACCACCUCAACGGGGGGAGGUGUUCACCCGGAGGUAGGAGACCCGGAGGUGUUCACGCGGAGGUAGGAGACCCGGAGGUGUUCACCCGGAGGUGGGAGACACGGAGCAGCGAGAGAAUGCUGACUACGAGAAUGCUGACUACAGGGCAGCAGCGGACUAGAACAUGCAACCCCUGGAGGAUGCUCAAUCCUCCAAUGACGAGAUGGUGGGGAACACGUGAAGGUCCGGUACGAAGCUGCUGUGUAUGAAGCUGCCGUCAACGGGGGGUCUGCUCAGUCAGUGGCAGACAGGAUGAGAAGAUGUGAAGAUCCAUACCCUGGGUGUACGUGCUAGCCUAACCUCUCCCCAAAGGGUGGCUCUCUACAGUACGUAAAGUGCUUGAGCUGAAGACAACCAGCAUACAGAGAGAUACUGCAUACAACAGACUGUCAAGUAUUGCUAUAAAAUGUUAUAAAAUGUUUGUGAUAUGACGCACUCAGGCAUGAGAAAAGUGUAAUGGUGCUGUCGAGCACAUAGUGCUGACAGGGUGGGAACCUCGUAGGAGGUUUUUUCGCCCACCCCUGACUGCGAAAGACUGGGGUUUGGUUUUUGAGGGGAAGCAAGAAUCUGCAGGUCCCGACAAAUACAAAACUGUGGGCUGACAGGCCUAGUUGAGAAAGAUAGGGACGUGUAGAUCAAGUAGUUAGUUACUGUAGUGGCCACUAAUACGUACGGCAGUAGUAGUAGUAAUGAAUGAUUAGGGGAACUCAGUUAAUCACACUUAUAAUCAAUGUAGGCAAACAAACGUAUAAUCAAGGUAGUUAGAUUUGAAAUGAGAUAUAUAUACAUAGUUGAAAGGAGAAGUAGGUUAAGGGUUAAGAGUUAUGGCUAAGUACAUCUACACAUGUCCGGCGCAAAGUGGAUGUAGGGGGGUCCUAAGGCCCAUUCUCCAGCUGCCAAUCUACUAUGAGACCCCGGGGUGCACAACACUAGCACGUCUCCCACCAGGUCUACAAAACCUCCUCAGCUCCUAUUCAGAUCAGUGUUGCAUAGAAGUGGUUAAUGUAAGGGACCCAUUUGAGUACAGGGACGGGCGCAGGGAUUAUGGCUUCGUUAGAGUAAUCCUCCGACAGCUAGCGGGGGACGGCCAUGGGGUGCGGCAGAAUCAGUUCCUCCACGCUUAAUUAAGGUAUUGUAUGAGGCUUCAUAGCCUCAGAGGGGGAAAUGUUGUGGAUAAAAAAUGUCAUAAAAUAAACAUAAGGGAGACCUAGCAUCCAGCAAAGGGGAGAAGAAGAAAAGACGGGCACCUAGACACAUAGAAGCGGGAUUAGGCGGACAUUGACAAAUUGGAAUUACACUUUAAAGAUCUUUAAGAGCAGUAAUAGUCAAAAAAAGGUAUACGAGCUGAGCUGAGGAGUGCUAAUACACACACACACACACGCUCGUACAGUCAAGGGCGGGCAAGUAGACACAACAUUACACACACACUCUCUCGCUCUCAUACACACACAUGAAUAACUUAAUAAUAUCUUAUAGUAAUAGAG
ensembl:lncRNA